rnacentral:rRNA from 1 species
CCUACGGGAGGCAGCAGUGAGGAAUAUUGGUCAAUGGCCGUAAGGCUGAACCAGCCAAGUCGCGUGAAGGAAGAAGGAUCGAUGGUUUGUAAACUUCUUUUAUAGGGGAAGAAAGGGAUACACGUGUGGAGAUUUGCAUGUACCCUAUGAAUAAGCAUCGGCUAACUCCGUGCCAGCAGCCGCGGUAAUACGGAGGAGGCGAGCGUUAUCCGGAUUUAUUGGGUUUAAAGGGUGCGUAGGUUUUUUUUUAAGUCAGCUGUGAAAGUUUGUGGCUCCACCCUAAAAUUGCCGUUGAAACUGGAAGACUUGAGUGUGUUUGAGGUAGGCGGACUGCGUGGUGUAGCGGUGCAAUGCUUCGCUAUCACGC